rnacentral:lncRNA from 1 species
CCAGAGUCUCUGCAAAGAGUGCUGUGUCUGGAGGGGCCUCAUCUGGUCCUUUUGCUGGUGAACUCCCCAGGGAGGGACCACAGCCUCAGACCCGCACCCCAUUUCCCGGCCUGUCUGUCCUCUCUUCCAGCGUCACCGGCUCAGCUUCUUUCUUUCUCCUCUGGCCUCGCUCGGAAUGGAAAGCAGCUGGCCAGCCUCCUUCCUCCUGGUUCCCGAGUUCUGCCCUUUUGCGUUUUCCCUCCAUAGCUCGUGGCCCUUCGUUGCUUCCCCAGCAUCCAAGGUACCGUGUCAGCAGGAAAACUCAUUACCUGCCUGCCUGGUUCCGCUGUCUCAGCUCCUUCUUGGAAGCAGGUGGCGUCUCCAUGAUGAAUACAUUAAAGAGAAAAAAGAAAGAAAACAUUCCUGGGUUGUUGUUAGACCGGCUUCUUACUGGAGACACAGUCCUUCUUCAAGCAGGCUCUCACUCUCUGCUGAUGUUCUAUGCGUCUGCCAAAACCAUAUAAAAAUCAUUCAUGGAGAAAAGUUCCCAGCGCCAGCAGCCAAUGCAGUCCCUUCCCGAUCUGAAGUUUAACGCUGGCCUGGAGACUGGUGAGGACUGGAUGUUGGGGAAGAUCCUGAGUGAGGAAAGCUUGAAGGGAAGAUGAAUGUAUUCAGUGUCUAGCGGUCCCCGCCCCGGGGGGAAGGACGCACACCCUUCACUUCAUCACAGCUAAAGCUGAAAAGAGACACAAGUUUGUGAUAUUUCUCAGUGACGUAUACCUUCUCAUCUGUCUGGAGUUGUUUUCUGCCAACAAGGAGAUGCUGCUUAAAAAAGCCCAACCCAGGAAACCCUGGCAGUUUGCAGUCAUCAGUACUUAAUAUCUGCGCUUUCCCGGUACAAGACAUCCUGUCUCCCUUUCCUCCUUAAAAAGUAGGAGUUACAGAGAGGGUCAGAGGGAAAAAUGCUUGUCUGUAGUAAGGAAUGGCUUUGAUGAGACGCACACGCACACGCACUGCCCAUGGCAUUUAGAGUCACACAAACUUGCCUUGAGCCGACAGUCCUACGGUGACAUGGGCCAUAUAUUCAAGACCUUUGAGACAGAUAAGAAUUCUGAAGUCCCCCGUGAUUACACUGUGAGAGGAAGCCUUUGUUUAGCUCUUGGCAGUGUUCACAGGACAAUGGGCUGCCAGUGAUAUAUGCAAAUGUGUCCUUUCCCCAUUACUGGACGUGACCUUUAUGAUUAGAUUGGAAGAGCAACAUCAAUUCCUGGGUUAAUAGGACUUAUUGGCCUAAAGGGAGGGAGCAUGUUCUCCUGGCAAGCCUGAAAAACUCAGAAUCAGACCCACCAAAUUCUCAUCUUCAUCACAGCCCCAGGGUUCUUGUGUGGCUAGAGAAAUCCUUCACCUUCUGUGCCUUGUUUGUUCUUCGGAAAUCAGGGGAAAGCACCUUUCUCAGGAGCCUUAGGAGCCUUUAAUAAGAGUUUAAAAGUCAGAAGAGAUGGCAUAAAUGCUAUCACGAUGUUUCAGAUCUCCUUGCAGGACCCUUUUCAGAUUAUUCCUAACCUCCAGUGCCAUGGGCUAAUUCCAGCCAGCUUCAGAGACAACCGUAUCCAUAAGAAUCAUCAUGAAACAGAGUUAAGGGUUACUGAUUAUCCGCAAAAACUGUUCCAUUGCAGUUACACACAAAAAAUGCGAGAAGGUGACUUUCCUGGAGGAGUGAUACAGCCUCACCAAGCAGCACCCCUGCUCCAGCCACCCCUCAAAUCAGCUUUCCCCUCACUUCAGAAGCAAUGGAUUUAGCUGUAAUGUUACUGCUCUGUCUAUACUCAUCAUGGUUAUUUAUCUGCUCUGUGAUAACACUUUACAUUAAAAAAAAAAAGCCUUAAAAUAACUUGACCAGAUUCUCCAAGUCAACAUGUAUUAAAAAUCAGGGGGAGAAAGACAGACUAACUUAAAGACACAGAACAGAGCUAGCGUGUGCUGACAAGUACCUACAGUCACCGACAAAGCAAGCAGAGAUGGAUGUGGGUACAUUUUUUAGUAACUUCAAAAAAAAAAAAAAUUAAAAGUAGUGUUAUCAUUUAAAGGAAGAAGGUGUCAGAUCCUCUAACAAAGAGGGGACUCCCCAUACUUCUAGUUAAAAAAGUAGACAAGGUUUGCAACUGCAUGAAUAGUUACACACUUUACAUUUAACUGUUUGCAAAUGUAGAGCUCUACUGAAGUGUAAGGGUCAGAAGAAGCUGGCAUCACCUUGUUACAAUGUUCUCUGUGAAAGAGGCAUCUGGCUGGGUUUCCCACUCACAGGGCUAAAACGGUUAAGCAUUUAAUUGCUUAGAAAGUAAUCCUAUUAUUUCAGAUUUUUGUGCAUAAUGAAUUCUUUUUUUCCUCUAGUUUGAGAACUUAUGAAGGGCAAGUGAGAUCCUCUGGUAAAUUUAUUUUUGAAAAGGCCCUCGACAGAUGUUGUAACAUCUAAGCAGCAUCGGUCUCAGGCAGAGGCUCUGAGCAGCAG